rnacentral:rRNA from 1 species
AGAGUUUGAUCCUGGCUCAGAUUGAACGCUGGCGGUAUGCUUAAGACAUGCAAGUCGAACGGUAACGACAUCUAGCUUGCUAGAUGGGCGACGAGUGGCGGACGGGUGAGUACAACAUAGGAAUCUAUCCAGUAGCUGGGGAUAACGUGGUGAAAACCACGCUAAUACCGAAUACGCACUACGGUGGAAAGAGGGGGAUCUUCGGACCUCUCACUAUCGGGUGAGCCUAUGCCGGAUUAGCUAGUUGGUGGGGUAAUGGCCUACCAAGGCAACGAUCCGUAGCUGUUCUGAGAGGAAGAUCAGCCACACUGGGACUGAGACACGGCCCAGACUCCUACGGGAGGCAGCAGUCGGGAAUAUUGGACAAUGGGGGCAACCCUGAUCCAGCAAUACCGCGUGUGUGAAGAAGGCCUGCGGGUUGUAAAGCACUUUCAAUAGGGAAGAAAAGCUUAAGGUUAAUAACCUUAGGUCUUGACGUUACCUAUACAAGAAGCACCGGCUAACUCCGUGCCAGCAGCCGCGGUAAUAAGGGCGA